rnacentral:rRNA from 1 species
AGGGUUUGAUCCUGGCUCAGAAUCAACGCUGGCGGCGUGCCUAACACAUGCAAGUCGAGCGAGAAAGUGUAGCAAUACAUGAGUAAAGCGGCGCACGGGUGAGUAACACGUGGGUAAUCUGCCUCGAAGUGGGGAAUAACACCGGGAAACCGGUGCUAAUACCGCAUAAUCCGACGGAGUCUGCGGACUUUGUUGGCAAAGGAGCAAUUCGCUUUGAGAGGAGCCCGCGGCUGAUUAGCUAGUUGGUGAGGUAAUGGCUCACCAAGGCAACGAUCAGUAGCCGGUCUGAGAGGACGGUCGGCCACACUGGAACUGAGACACGGUCCAGACUCCUACGGGAGGCAGCAGUGGGGAAUUUUUGGCAAUGGGGGAAACCCUGACCAAGCAACGCCGCGUGGGUGAUGAAGUAUCUUGGUACGUAAAACCCUUUCGACGGGGACGAAACCGCAAGGUUGACGGUACCCGUAGAAGAAGCCCCGGCUAACUCCGUGCCAGCAGCCGCGGUAAUACGGGGGGGGCAAGCGUUGUUCGGAAUUACUGGGCGUAAAGGGCGCGUAGGCGGCUCGCUAAGUCGGAUGUGAAAACUCUGGGCUCAACCCAGAGCCUGCAUUCGAAACUGACGAGCUGGAGUUCUGGAGGGGAAAGCGGAAUUCCUGGUGUAGCGGUGAAAUGCGUAGAUAUCAGGAGGAACACCGGUGGCGAAGGCGGCUUUCUGGACAGAAACUGACGCUGAUGCGCGAAAGCUAGGGGAGCAAACAGGAUUAGAUACCCUGGUAGUCCUAGCCCUAAACGAUGGAUACUUGGUGUGAGGGGGAUUGAAUCCCUUCGUGCCGAAGCUAACGCAUUAAGUAUCCCGCCUGGGGGAGUACGGUCGCAAGGCUGAAACUCAAAGGAAUUGACGGGGGCCCGCACAAGCGGUG